rnacentral:rRNA from 1 species
UACGUAGGUGGCGAGCGUUGUCCGGAAUUACUGGGCGUAAAGGGCGUGUAGGCGGCCUUUUAAGUCAGACGUGAAAACCCUGGGCUUAACCCAGGACCUGCGUUUGAUACUGGAGGGCUUGAGGAUCGGAGAGGGCAGUGGAAUUCCCAGUGUAGCGGUGAAAUGCGUAGAUAUUGGGAGGAACACCAGUGGCGAAGGCGACUGCCUGGACGACACCUGACGCUGAGGCGCGAAAGCCAGGGGAGCAAACGGG